GAUGAACGCAGGCGGCGUGCCUAAUACAUGCAAGUCGAGCGAACAGAUAAGGAGCUUGCUCCUUUGACGUUAGCGGCGGACGGGUGAGUAACACGUGGGUAACCUACCUAUAAGACUGGGAUAACUUCGGGAAACCGGAGCUAAUACCGGAUAACAUUUAGAACCGCAUGGUUCUAAAGUAAAAGAUGGCUUUGCUAUCACUUAUAGAUGGACCCGCGCCGUAUUAGCUAGUUGGUAAGGUAACGGCUUACCAGGGCAACGAUACGUAGCCGACCUGAGAGGGUGAUCGGCCACACUGGAACUGAGACACGGUCCAGACUCCUACGGGAGGCAGCAGUAGGGAAUCUUCCGCAAUGGGCGAAAGCCUGACGGAGCAACGCCGCGUGAGUGAUGAAGGUCUUCGGAUCGUAAAACUCUGUUAUUAGGGAAGAACAAAUGUGUAAGUAACUGUGCACAUCUUGACGGU
rnacentral:rRNA from 1 species